rnacentral:rRNA from 1 species
GACGAACGCUGGCGGCGUGCUUAACACAUGCAAGUCGAACGGAGCUUCCUGGAUAGAGACUUCGGUCAAUUGAACGGAAGCUUAGUGGCGGACUGGUGAGUAACGCGUGAGGAACCUGCCUUUCAGAGGGGGACAACAGUUGGAAACGACUGCUAAUACCGCAUAAUGUAUUUUGGGGGCAUCCCUGAAAUACCAAAGCUUUAUGUGCUGAAAGAUGGUCUCGCGUCUGAUUAGCUAGUUGGUGAGGUAACGGCUCACCAAGGCGACGAUCAGUAGCCGGUCUGAGAGGAUGAACGGCCACAUUGGGACUGAGAUACGGCCCAGACUCCUACGGGAGGCAGCAGUGGGGAAUAUUGGGCAAUGGGGGAAACCCUGACCCAGCAACGCCGCGUGAAGGAAGAAGGUUUUAGGAUUGGUAAACUUCUUUUACCAGGGACGAAGAACGUGACGGUACCUGGAGAAAAAGCAAACGGCUAACUACGUG